rnacentral:lncRNA from 1 species
CCUGGAUUUCGAUGCUUGCAGCGGCGACGACGAAUUGCCGGAAUGAGGGUCUGGCCGGAGGAGAUCAUUGGGUCGGGUGGAGUAGUUUUGAGGUUGGACUUGGACGCCAUGAACGGAAUGAGGUAGAGGCUCAAAGCAAAAGCAGAAAGAGAAAAGCGAGAACAUGGGAGAAAACGAACAUGGGUUGGUUGAGAAUUUCGGAAACCAUAAU